UACGUAGGGUGCAAGCGUUAAUCGGAAUUACUGGGCGUAAAGCGUGCGCAGGCGGUUUUGUAAGUCUGUCGUGAAAGCCCCGGGCUCAACCUGGGAAUUGCGAUGGAGACUGCAAGGCUUGAAUCUGGCAGAGGGGGGUGGAAUUCCGCGUGUAGCAGUGAAAUGCGUAGAGAUGCGGAGGAACACCGAUGGCGAAGGCAGCCCCCUGGGCUAACACUGACGCUCAGGCACGAAAGCGUGGGGAGCAAACAGG
rnacentral:rRNA from 1 species